GCUUGCUAUAGGAAUGGAGAAUAACAGCUCCAAAACUAGAUUUCCACAGUUAAAGAAGAUAGAGGAUUGAGGCAUCCAUCCAGGGAAAAUAUGUUUUCAGUUCCAGUGCAUGUUUCUGGAAGUACCUUCCACGUCAUCACCAUCCCAGCUUCUAGAAGAGUGGGCAAGACUGCCGUUCACAGCAGAGACGGGAAAGGUCCAGGGCUCGACCUCACUGCAGAGACAGCCCCCUCCUCGCCGUUCCCCGCCCCAGCUGGACGGAUGUACAGAGGCAGAUGAAGAACUCCCUCAUCAGAUAGUGGCACCCUGCUCCUUGUACUUCCUUAGCCACAGGCCCCAGAACUUACCAGUUACUGUUCAUUUUAGGAAAUAGCAUUUACUGAUGAAAAGCUCUUGCUAAAAUUUGAGGUUUACUCAAUUCUUACUCAUCCCUCCUGAGGGAAGAAUACAGAAAGAAACAGUCUGGUAAAAAAGGAUGGUUGUUGUGAUGCAGUGUCACUCGCCUCGGCCUUUUCUCCAUCCUCAACACCUCCCAAGCCCCACUCACUUAGCGAGUGUCAGGAUCGUGAAAAUUGGAACUUCCGUACGGGCCGCUAUAUAGAGUUUAUUGAGUAGCUAGAAGGGAAGAGCUGCCAGGAAGAUCAGGACAUGAGGGCAUUCUCAGGCUUUGAUAAGCCAGUGAAUUCCCUGUAAUAAAAUUUGUUGAAAAUAGCUACUUGUAACCCCAUGUUGGAAACAUGCUUCUCCAUUCUUCAGAUGAUGUCCAGCUCAGAGGACUUGUGAUCUGUGUUAAGGAACAGUUAGCCCAGAGAUAACCAGCACACUGGAAAACGGGCCCAAGCUAACCAAAGGAGGGUUGAUAGGAAUAAGUGAUCAAAGUCUUGCAGUUUGGCAAAAAAUACAGAGGGAAAUGGAGGUAUAACUAAGUGUGCAAAAAGGCCUCUGGUUGGUUUGACCAUAAAUGAAUAUUAGCCAAUAAACUGAACUAGCUGCUUAGACCAUUCACAUAGCUUAACCUACAUAAAUAAAAUUGCAAUAUUUCAAGAAAGAAAUGAGAUCAUCCUACUGCAUAGACAUUAAAAUUCUAAUACUAAAGUGCAACUCUACGCGGAGUUUAUUAGAAUCUGGACACUUCCCCCUCCCCACUCCACAGCAACAUUGUUUUUGGUAGUGUACACUCAGGUUUUCCUGCUGAAAUGUUAUUACAAUAGUAGUUAGAACCCCACAUUAGCCUCAAGGCCAACAGUCUUUUUUCCCCUCUUUUUUUUUUUUUUUUAAAGAGAGAGCACACAAGCAGUGGGGAGGGACAGAGGAGAAGCAGACUCCUCGCUGAGCAGGGAGCACAAUGCAGGACUGAUCCCAGGAUGCCAGGAUCAUGACCUGAGCUGAAGGUAGACACUUAACCAGCUGAAGUUGCC
rnacentral:lncRNA from 1 species